rnacentral:lncRNA from 1 species
UCCAUCAUUUUCAAAAGCUUAAUCAAUGUUCUACUGAUCAGGAUCUUCCUAGGCAAUUUGAGCUUCAAGAACAACGCUUCUCACCGAUUGAUUUCUUCUCCUUUCAACAAGUAAGAAAAACCCNUUUUCUAGGUCAUUCUAGGGUUGUGCUCAUGCAACAAAAUCUUGUUGCAUGUAACCCACUUUGUUUUUCUUCAAAUUCUAACCCCACUUAGACUCUAAAACCUGUUUUCAUUCCAAAUUUNUGAUUUGUAGGUGAUCCUAGUCUUCUUUGAGGUGUAAGCGGGCAUUGGGGUUUUUUGUAAGUUUGGCGUUUCGUCUAGAGGUAAGGGGAGCUAGCAUGUGAUCGNUGUUCUUACUGAUUUAUANAAUAGGUUACGAUUUUGAUAAAUUGAGUGAAUGCAUNUGUACNGUUUAAUUUCUAUUUUGAUGCUAAAGUUGGAAUGUUGGAACGUAAUUGUUGUACUGUUGAUUUUUGUAUGGUGUUUAUGAUUNUGAAGAAUGNGUAUGUGUGAGAUUGGAUGUAUGAAGAGGAACAAUUAUGAAUUACUAUACAAAAGUAGAAGAUGAGGAUUAGGUCCUGUUGUAUGUAUUUUAGGUAUGAUUUAGGAACUAGGAUAGCCAAAUUUUGGGUUUNAGGUUAUAGUUAGGUUNNGUCAGUUUAGGAAGUGGGUAUAAGUCAUANAUGACUUGUAUGAAGUNUGCAUUUAGUCAAAACUGCAUUCUAAGUGCUAGAACUGAAAUUGGACCUAUAAGUUGUUGAAACUUNAGAAAUUGAGUCUAAAAUGAUGCAUAAUUAAUAGUUUAAGAGGUUUAUAAGCAAUUAGACANCUUAGACAAGUUUAAAUCNUCAUAUACUUCGAGUUAGGAUCAUUAGAAGUGCACCAAUUGACCUAUAACAAGUUUUGGGUGGGUGUGUUCUGCAAAUCUGCAGAAUUGGGAAUCUGCAGAAGUGCAGAUUCGCUGAGCGAGAGUUCUUGCAUAGCGAGAACUCAAAAUUUUUGUGUUUUCCAGCAAAAAUUCGCACAGCGCACCAGUAAGUGUGCGCUCAGCGAAUUUUCUGCGACAGAAGGUGUAUUUUUGGUGUUUUUGACGUUUUGGGAGCUACGGACGUCCGUUUUGGACGUUCUUUUGGUCGUUCUGGGGGUUUUUGACCCUUCUUUGAUCCAUUGGUAAGGGUCUCCAAGCCAAUUGAAUUACUUAAGUAAUGGUAAUUAAAUAUUAUAAAGAUAUUUGUGUUAAUAAAUGAUGUUUUUGUAAAGACAUGUAAUGUUUGAGUNUNUAUGAGUUGUUUUGNUGAUUUGGUUGAUGUUGUAUGAUGUGUAUAUGACUUAGUAUAGCCUUGGAUGAUGUUGGUAAAGUGAAGACAAUAUUGUUGUGAAAAAUCAUGAACUUUGUGAACUUUAUUAAGAUCUCUAGGUGAGAUCAAUCUAGUGUAUGAAUGAAUAUUGAGGCUCCUUNAAGGGAGGUUAUCCCUAAUACUCUGACGGUCUUUCAAUCUCAAAUAGAGAGGAUCGACGCGGGUGGUGAGAAUAGUGGGAAGUCCUAGGGUAGACGCUUCCACUGUAGGUCUAUUCCGCGGUAACGGANUCGCCUUNUGUGUGGUCGGGUGAAACCCCUCGGCAAUGGCUUUGCAAAGCAAUAGAGUCCACCACAAGUGCAACACCUACCCAAGAUCAAUAUUCAUUCCUAGUCCGGAGGAGUCUAGGUCAAUUAGGAAAUUAUAUGUCUGAUUUGUGGUUGUUUAUAUACUCUGUCUAUUAAAAAUGUACUGAACUUGUAUGGUUUUGAAUACUAGCUCACCCUUGCACUUGUAUGUUGUUUGUUUUGUAUGUUCUGGUUCUUCCCUUUGCGAUGAUCAUCCUUUUUGGAUGUGAGCAGAUGCAGCAGAUGACACCUCUCUAGAGCAGGCUUUGGACAGCGAUGAGCCAGCCCCUAGCACUUAGUAGCUUCUUAGCUUAGUUCAUCUAGUUUUAUUUCUAUUUCUUAUUGUUCUCCCUUCUCUUUUAUAUUUUGAAAGACUUUACGAUUGAGUAAAGCUUUUGAAUUACUCAUUUUAUGGAUGACUGUAUAUAUUUAUACUAGUACCAUAUC